rnacentral:rRNA from 1 species
GUGUCAGCAGCCGCGGUAAGACAGAGGGUGCGAACGUUGCUCGGAAUUACUGGGCGUAAAGCGCGUGUAGGCGGGUGAUCAAGUCAGGUGUGAAAUCCCUGGGCUCAACCCAGGAACUGCACUUGAAACUGGUCGCCUUGAGUGUUGGAGAGGGAAGCGGAAUUCCUGGUGUAGAGGUGAAAUUCGUAGAUAUCAGGAGGAACACCGGUGGCGAAGGCGGCUUCCUGGACAAUUACUGACGCUGAGACGCGAAAGCGUGGGGAGCAAACAGGAUUAGAAACCCUGGUAGUCC